rnacentral:rRNA from 1 species
AAAGCAUGGGUAGCGAACAGGAUUAGAUACCUGGUAGUCCAUGCCGUAAACGAUGAGCGCUAAGUGUUGGAGGGUUUCCCCCUUCAGUGCUGCAGCUAACGCAUUAAGCACUCCGCCUGGGGAGUACGACCGCAAGGUUGAAACUCAAAGGAAUUGACGGGGGCCCGCACAAGCGGUGGAGCAUGUGGUUUAAUUCGAAGCUACGCGAAGAACCUUACCAGGUCUUGACAUCUUCUGCCAGUCUUAGAGAUAAGACGUUCCCUUCGGGGACAGAAUGACAGGUGGUGCAUGGUUGUCGUCAGCUCGUGUCGUGAGAUGUUGGGUUAAGUCCCGCAACGAGCGCAACCCUUAUUAUCAGUUGCCAGCAUUCAGUUGGGCACUCUGGUGAGACUGCCGGUGACAAACCGGAGGAAGGUGGGGAUGACGUCAAAUCAUCAUGCCCCUUAUGACCUGGGCUACACGCGUGCUACAAUGGACGGUACAACGAGUCGCGAAGUCGUGAGGCUAAGCUAAUCUCUUAAAGCCGUUCUCAGUUCGGAUUGUAGGCUGCAACUCGCCUACAUGAAGUUGGAAUCGCUAGUAAUCGCGGAUCAGCAUGCCGCGGUGAAUACGUUCCCGGGCCUUGUACACACCGCCCGUCACACCAUGAGAGUUUGUAACACCCAAAGCCGGUGAGAUAACCUUCGGGAGUCAGCCGUCUAAGGUGGGACAGAUGAUUAGGGUGAAGUCGUAACAAGGUAACCA